GACAGAGGGUGCAAACGUUGUUCGGAAUCAUUGGGCGUAAAGCGCGUGUAGGCGGCUCGAUAAGUCUGCUGUGAAAGUUCAGGGCUCAACCCUGAAAUGCCGGUGGAAACUGUCGGGCUAGAGUCCGGAAGAGGCGAGUGGAAUUCCUGGUGUAGCGGUGAAAUGCGCAGAUAUCAGGAGGAACACCAAUGGCGAAGGCAGCUCGCUGGGACGGUACUGACGCUGAGACGCGAAAGCGUGGGGAGCAAACAGG
rnacentral:rRNA from 1 species